CUGUUUAUCAAAAACACAGGACUCUGCGAACACGUAAGUGGAUGUAUAGGGUCUGACGCCUGCCCGGUGCCGGAAGGUUAAGUGAUGGGGUCAGCCGCAAGGCGAAGCUCUUGAUCGAAGCCCCGGUAAACGGCGGCCGUAACUAUAACGGUCCUAAGGUAGCGAAAUUCCUUGUCGGGUAAGUUCCGACCUGCACGAAUGGCGUAACGCUGGCCACACUGUCUCGACCCGAGACUCAGUGAAGUUGAAAUCGCUGUGAAGAUGCGGCGUUCCCGCGGCAAGACGGAAAGACCCCGUGAACCUUCACUACAGCUUUACACUGAACUUUGAACCUUCUUGUGUAGGAUAGGUGGGAGGCUAUGAAGCCUGGGCGCUAGCUCAGGUGGAGCCAACCUUGAAAUACCACCCUGGAAUGUUCGAAGUUCUAACCUAGGUCCGUAUCCGGAUCGGGGACAGUGUAUGGUGGGUAGUUUGACUGGGGCGGUCUCCUCCCAAAGAGUAACGGAGGAGUGCAAAGGUACGCUCAGCGCGGUCGGUCAUCGCGCUCUAGAGUGCAAAGGCAUAAGCGUGCUUAACUGCGAGACGGACAGGUCGAGCAGGUACGAAAGUAGGUCUUAGUGAUCCGGUGGUUCUGUAUGGAAGGGCCAUCGCUCAACGGAUAAAAGGUACUCCGGGGAUAACAGGCUUAUUCCUCCCAAGAGUCCACAUCGACGGAGGAGUUUGGCACCUCGAUGUCGGCUCAUCACAUCCUGGGGCUGUAGCAGGUCCCAAGGGUAUGGCUGUUCGCCAUUUAAAGUGGUACGCGAGCUGGGUUCAGAACGUCGUGAGACAGUUCGGUCCCUAUCUGCCGUGGGCGUUGGAAACUUGAGGGUGAGCUGUCCUUAGUACGAGAGGACCGGGAUGGACGCACCUCUGGUGUUCCGGUUGUCACGCCAGUGGCACUGCCGGGUAGCUAUGUGCGGACGGGAUAAGCGCUGAAAGCAUCUAAGCGCGAAGCCCCCCCAAGAUUAGGUUUCCCUGGGAGCUCGACUCCCCUGAAGGGCCGUCGCAGACUACGACGUUGAUAGGCUGGGUGUGUAAGUGCAGUAAUGCAUUGAGCUAACCAGUACUAAUUGCCCGUGAGGCUUGACCAU
rnacentral:rRNA from 1 species